rnacentral:rRNA from 1 species
GUGGGGAAUCUUGGACAAUGGGCGCAAGCCUGAUCCAGCCAUGCCGCGUGAGUGAAGAAGGCCCUAGGGUUGUAAAGCUCUUUCGGCGGGGACGAUAAUGACGGUACCCGCAGAAGAAGCCCCGGCUAACUCCGUGCCAGCAGCCGCGGUAAUACGGAGGGGGCUAGCGUUGUUCGGAAUUACUGGGCGUAAAGCGCACGUAGGCGGGUCGUUAAGUCGGGGGUGAAAUCCUGGGGCUCAACCUCAGAACUGCCUUCGAUACUGGCGACCUUGAGUACGGGAGAGGUGAGUGGAAUUCCCAGUGUAGAGGUGAAAUUCGUAGAUAUUGGGAAGAACACCAGUGGCGAAGGCGCCUUACUGGCUCGGUACUGACGCUGAGGUACGAAAGCGUGGGGAGCAAACA